GCAUAUCAAUAAGCGGAGGAAAAGAAACUAACAAAGGGAUUCCUCAGUAACGGCGAGUGAAAGCGGGAAGAGCUCAAAAUUUAAAAUCUGGUUUACUUUGUAAAUCCGAGUUGUAGUCUGAAGAAACGUUUUCCAUAAGCACUGAGGCAAAAAGUCCCUUGGAACAGGGCAUCAUAGAGGGUGAGAAUCCCGUCCAUGGUCUCAAGUUGUUUAUUUUGUGAUACGUUUUCAAAGAGUCAGGUUGUUUGGGAAUGCAGCCUAAAAUGGGUGGUAAAUUUCAUCUAAAGCUAAAUAUUGGCGAGAGACCGAUAGCGAACAAGUACCGUGAGGGAAAGAUGAAAAGAACUUUGAAAAGAGAGUUAAACAGUACGUGAAAUUGUUGAAAGGGAACCGUUUGAAGCCAGUCUUACUUGCUCGUGAUCAAUUUUUGCUUCGGCAUGAAUGCACUCUCGGGUAUGGUAGGCCAACGACAGUUUGGAAUGCGAGAAAAAAAUAGGGGAAAUGUGGCCUUCGGGUGUUAUAGUUCUCUAUAAAAUAUCGUGUUCUGGACUGAGGAUCGCAGCAAAAAUGUGGGCAGAUGGAUUUCUGUGGUGACUGUCGGUUAGGACAACUUGUUGACCUAGUCUUCCUUAGCCUCACUAUUUAUCUUGCUUCUAAUUUGCUUAGGUCGUUGGCAUAAUGGCUUUAAAUGACCCGUCUUGAAACACGGACCAAGGAGUCUAACAUAUAUGCGAGUAUUUGGGUGACAAACCCAUAUGCGCAAUGAAAGUGAAAUUAGGUGCCAAACCUUCACGGGUGGCAGCAUCGGCCGGCUCUGACGUUUUAACUGACGAGUCUGAGCAGAAGCAUACAUGUUGGGACCCGAAAGAUGGUGAACUAUGCCUGAAUAGGGUGAAGCCAGAGGAAACUCUGGUGGGAGGCUCGUAGCCGAUUCUGACGUGCAAAUCGAUCGUCAAAUUUGGGUAUAGGGGGCGAAAGACUAAAUCGAAACUAUCUAGUAGCUGGGUACUGGCGAG
rnacentral:rRNA from 1 species